rnacentral:rRNA from 1 species
CCUACGGGAGGCAGCAGUGAGGAAUAUUGGUCAAUGGACGAGAGUCUGAACCAGCCAAGUAGCGUGAAGGAUGACUGCCCUAUGGGUUGUAAACUUCUUUUAUAUGGGAAUAAAAUGUUCCACGUGUGGGAUUUUGUAUGUACCAUAUGAAUAAGGAUCGGCUAACUCCGUGCCAGCAGCCGCGGUAAUACGGAGGAUCCGAGCGUUAUCCGGAUUUAUUGGGUUUAAAGGGAGCGUAGGUGGAUUGUUAAGUCAGUUGUGAAAGUUUGCGGCUCAACCGCAAAAUUGCAGUUGAAACUGGCAGUCUUGAGUACAGUAGAGGUGGGCGGAAUUCGUGGUGUAGCGGUGAAAUGCUUAGAUAUCACGAAGAACUCCGAUUGCGAAGGCAGUUCACUGGACUGCAACUGACACUGAGGCUCGAAAGUGUGGGUAUCAAACAGGAUUAGAUACCCGUGUAGUC